AAAAAAAUGAACGCUACAGAGAAGAUUAGCAUGGCCUCUGCGCAAGGAUGACAUGCAAAUUUGUGAUGCAUUCCAUAUUUAA
rnacentral:snRNA from 1 species